rnacentral:rRNA from 1 species
CACCACCAGGAGUGGAAUCUGCGGCUUAAUUUGACCCAACGCGGGAAAACUCACCAGGUCAGGACACGGUAGGAUUGACGGACUGAAGGCUCUUUCUCGAUUCCGUGGAAAGUGGUGCAUGGCCGUUUUUGGUUGGUGGAUCGAUCCGUCUGGUUAAUUCCGUUAACGAACGAGACCUCGGCACUCCGAAUAGCGCGGCGGACGUCGCGGCCUCCGGGCCGUCUUCCGCACGAGCUUCUUAGAGGGACCGUCCCCCGCCGGGGAAGGAGGUGCGAGGCAACGACAGGUCUGUGAUGCCCUUAGAUGUUCUGGGCCGCACGCGCAUUACACUGACGCGUCCAACGGGUGACUCCCGACCCGAAGGGGCCGGGGAAUCCGCAAGGCGCGUCGUGAUGGGGAUUGAACGUUGCAAUUGUUGUUCACGAACGAGGAAUUCCUAGUAGGCGCGGGUCAUCAACCCGCGCCGAUUACGUCCCUGCCCUUUGUACACACC